rnacentral:tRNA from 1 species
AAGGGAGACCUAAUUCGGGUAGGAGACGAAAAAAAAGUAGUCGCUACCAAGAAUCAAUCCCAAAAGGUCGGGGCGAGGCGUGAGGCUUUCAAACUAGGUUCUGGGUUCAUAAAAGACCUGAAUCAGGAACAAGGGCUAUUAGCUCAGGUGGUUAGAGCGCACCCCUGAUAAGGGUGAGGUCCCUGGUUCGAGUCCAGGAUGGCCCACCUGCACAGGUGGUAAAAACAAAGAAAAGAAGCGAGGAAUCAGCACCUUAUCUUAUCUAUAUAUAAGUAAGAGAGAAUGCUGGCUCUAAGUGAAGAGUCCAGAGGAACCUUGAAAACUGCAUAGAGCUAGGUGAAAAAGCCAAAAAAGAAGACCGCAA